GCCAGGCAGGUGGUGUAGUGGUUAACACCCCUGUGACAGCCUCUGUUUGGAACCAGUAUUUCUGAUUAGAGGUCGCGGGUUCGAAUCCUGCCCCUGGCA